GUGUGAUUCGUUUUUGGAAAAACUUCCAAAUCUGGAAGUGACAUACGAGCUUGAUUUGAAAAAAUUUUUGCAAAAUUCUAUAAAAGGUCGUAAUAUAUUGGCCCAGAAAAACCAUUUAACACCGCAAUUAAGAGAUGAUCUCGUUGCAUUAUUAAUCGAUCACGAUUUACUACAAGACAUUAAUUCCUAUAUUCCGACCAGAAGACUUUUACAAUUAGCCCGCCUCAUAAAGCAAGAAUUCCCGAAC